UACGAAGGGGGCUAGCGUUGCUCGGAAUUACUGGGCGUAAAGCGCACGUAGGCGGCUUUCUAAGUCGGGGGUGAAAUCCUGGAGCUCAACUCCAGAACUGCCUUCGAUACUGGAGAGCUCGAGUCCGGGAGAGGUGAGUGGAACUGCGAGUGUAGAGGUGAAAUCGUAGAUAUUCGCAAGAACACCAGUGGCGAAGGCGGCUCACUGGCCCGGUACUGACGCUGAGGUGCGAA
rnacentral:rRNA from 1 species